GACGAACGCUGGCGGCGUGCUUAACACAUGCAAGUCGAACGGAAAGGCCCUGCUUUUGUGGGGUGCUCGAGUGGCGAACGGGUGAGUAACACGUGAGUAACCUGCCCUUGACUUUGGGAUAACUUCAGGAAACUGCGGCUAAUACCGGAUAGGAGCUCCUGCUGCAUGGUGGGGGUUGGAAAGUUUCGGCGGUUGGGGAUGGACUCGCGGCUUAUCAGCUUGUUGGUGGGGUAGUGGCUUACCAAGGCUUUGACGGGUAGCCGGCCUGAGAGGGUGACCGGCCACAAGGGGACUGAGAGACGGCCCAGACUCCUACGGGAGGCAGCAGUGGGGAAUAUUGCACAAUGAGCGGAAGCCUGAUGCGGCAACGCCGCGUGCGGGAUGACGGCCUUCGGGUGGUAAACCGCUGUCGCCUGUGACGAAGCGUGAGUGACGGUAAUGGGUAAAGAAGCACCGGCUAACUACGUG
rnacentral:rRNA from 1 species